rnacentral:lncRNA from 1 species
CCCUUUCUCUGUGUGCUCACUUAAUGAAUAUAUCUAACUAGUAACUAUAUACCUUGUCAAUCUUAAAAAAAAACUAAUAUACACUUAGUAAUUAUAUUGAUACUCUUUGGGACAAUAUAAUUUGUCAAAUCCCGUGGGUAAUUCUUGGGAAAUUAUUGGUUCUUGUGUUCUACCUCCGUCCCAAUAUAUAUCGGAUUCUGACUAUUCACUUAUAGCUUUUAACUAUUCGUCUUAUUCAAAAAUUUAGUGCAAAUAUAAAAACUUAUAAGUAAUAAUUAAACUACUUUUAAUAAUAAACAAAAUAAAUAAUAUUUUCAAAAAACUUUGAAUAAGAUGAGUGGUCAAAUAUUAUAAACAGAAAGUCAAAAUCUCAUAUAACGUGGGAUAGAGGGAUCACUGGAGUGUAGUGAGCAGAGAAGAAGUGUUCAAAGUAACGUAGAUGUGUAUAUAUAGAUAAGG